UGCUGAUGGUGGUGAGCGGCGCAGUGCUGGUGUACUUCGUCGUCAGGACGGUCAGGAUGAGAAGAAGAAACCGAAAGACUAGGAGAUACGGGGUUUUGGACACUAACAUAGAAAACAUGGAAUUGACACCCUUAGAGCAAGAUGAUGAGGAGGAGGAUAACACAUUGUUUGAUGCCAAUCAUCCUCGAAGAUAAGAAUGUGCCUUUUGAUGAGAAAACUUCAUCUUCUACAAUGAAGAGCAGACUGUCUAUGUUUAAGGAAUAAAAAGCCACUUUAUCAAUGGGGGGUAUUUAAGUUACAUAUAUUAUGAGAACCUUCAAUUUGUUGUUACAAUAGGUGUGUAUCAUUUGUUAGUUUUUCUCUGUAUAGAAGUGCUCUUAAUGGGCUCAGAGUUGUUGGGAGUAAUUGUACUAUAAUAGAGAUCUGAAAAUUACUUUAAAGCAGUGUGUUUUCUGAUGAGUUUCUCUUUCUUGUUUACCUUAUUAUUGUAAACUGUUUAUGUACUAAUCAGUUAACUUUAUUUAUAUAUGUGUGUGUGUGUGUGUGUAUAUAUAUAUAUAUAUAUAUAUAUAUAAUUUAUUUUUUGGCUGGUUAAGGAUUUUGUUUUUUGUUUUUUUUUUUCCUGGAACUAUAAAUCCCAGCAACCAACUGGUGUGUAACUACCAAGAUGUAUUUCCCAUUUUUGUGGGGAAAAGAAGCCAAAUUUAUUAUCUUGAGUUUGGGUUUUUUAAAUAAUAAAAAUGUCUGUGUUGUGUGUAAAACAAUAAAUACUAUUUAAAAUUCUUUGAAUGUGGUAUAAACAAGAUGUGUUUAUACAGUAAACCCAAAGCUAUAGAUUUAUAUAUUAGCGUAUGUAUUUUAUAUGAUUUCUUUAAAAAUCUGUCCAAAAGUUACUGUAUUUUAACAACUUCCUUGUUAAAUUAUGACACCACGUUGAUUAGAUAUUUCAGAAACCAGUGAAUUUCAAAGCCAUUUAAUUUGUUUACAGUAUUGUGAGAGAAGUACCAGUGAAAACAUUCCCAUCACGUUAUGACGUAGAAGAGGAAGGAAUUUUAAGUAUGUGCAUAGACUUUGGAGUCAGACCUAGAUACAGAGACUAACCUCAUUAUCUCCUGAACACGUAAUUAACCCUACUGAGGCUUCAGUUUUUCACAUUCUAAAAACUAGAGGAGAACUGACAGGAAAAGUAUGGGUCACGGACGCCUUUGCCUAGAGGGGCCAUGAAGGUAAUUUAAAUGUGUGUGUCAGGACAGGCUAGUUGAUAGAGUGGUAACAGAUGGUCCCCAGAUCACAGUGGGUAACAGCAAAGAUUUAUCUCUCACUCACACUGCCCAUUUGUUAUGGACGGUGAUUCUGCUCUUCAUGAUGUUUUCUCCAGGGCCGAACUGAUGAAGAAACCUCAGCUUGGAAUAUUGCCUCGUAGCUAAAUGUCCAGAUGUGGUGAACUGCAUGCUAGUUCAUAAGCGUCUGCCCUGAAGUCGUAUAUUUCAUUUCCAUCUACAUUUUGUUCCGAAACAAACCCUGAAGCCUCUCUGGAGUUCAGCAAGGCAAGGACAUAAUCCACGAGCAAUGAAGUAACUUGGAGUAUUUGACCACUUAAAAUGCCAAGUUAGUUUCUCCUGUAUGCUAACUGGCUUACCACAGUGAGCCAAGUCCCCCCAAUGUCAGUAUAUUUCUGUGUAUUAUGUAAACAGAGACUAAAGAGAAAAUAUAUUUCCUCUUCUAAAGGGAUCAGCCUUUGUUCAGCUCCCACUAGUAGUUAUUAUGAGGAACUGUUUACACAGUGUUGAUAAAUACUUUAAUUUCCGAAAGAAACCAAGCCUCCAGGUUUUAUAUGAAGGUUCAUCGUUUAAAAAUAUUAUAACCAGAUCAUAC